rnacentral:piRNA from 1 species
UUAGAGAGAUGUUUCUGUUUGAUAAAGCUA